UCAUCGGGGGACUUGCUCCUGGACACCUGGGCCUCCAGGGAAGAGGUCUGAGCGCCCCCGGGCCGCUGGAACCUAAGGAAGCCCCAACAGACCCCCAGGGAGGGAUGCCCCCAGCUGCUGCUGCAAACCCCAGGCCAGCCCUACCCCAGCCCUUCCUGAAUCCCUAACUCAGAGAGAUGACCCUGGUAAACUGGAGGAUGUUUUGCAAGAAGAAACACAGGGCCAUAAAGAUACGGCGGCCUCGAAGCCCAGGUGGGUCCAUUACUCAGAAAAGAAGAUACACUUUACGUGCAAGUCAAGGACGGGACUAACUGAGGGGAGAGACAGUGUUCUGGGGUAAUCUCUGCAAGGAUGGCGAUAGAAAGCAGACCGUGGGAAUUCACUAGUUUUAGUCCCUCCCCCAUCCCCAUCCCCUAACCCUAUAUAAGGGCUGGCUUGAAAUGAAAUGUCAGAGUGAUCUUUUCAGGGUAUUGCACCUGUCACUCUCUCAGACGGCCGGCCAUCUGAAUAAUAAACAGCACCACGAAGAUCCAA